rnacentral:rRNA from 1 species
CAGUCGCCGCGGUAAUACGUAGGUGGCGAGCGUUGUCCGGAAUUAUUGGGCGUAAAGGGCUCGCAGGCGGUUUCUUAAGUCUGAUGUGAAAGCCCCCGGCUCAACCGGGGAGGGUCAUUGGAAACUGGGAAACUUGAGUGCAGAAGAGGAGAGUGGAAUUCCACGUGUAGCGGUGAAAUGCGUAGAGAUGUGGAGGAACACCAGUGGCGAAGGCGACUCUCUGGUCUGUAACUGACGCUGAGGAGCGAAAGCGUGGGGAGCGAACAGGAUUAGAUACCCCCGUAGUCCCUGUCUCUUAUAC